GACGCGGUGGCCUAAUGGUUAGCGUGUUGGACUCUGGAUCUAGUGGUCCGAGUUCGAGCCCUGGUCAGGGUCA